GUCUACAGCCAUACCACCCUUAAUGUACUGAUCUCAUGUGAUCUCAAAAACUAAGCAGGCUUGGGCCUAGUUAGUACUUGUAUGGGGGACUGCUUGGGAGUACCGGUGCUGUAGGCU
ensembl:rRNA 5S_rRNA 5S ribosomal RNA